UAGAAUUUUAAGUUAUAUAAACUAAAAGCCUUCAAAGCUUUAAAAAAAAUAGACAUUUUAAAUUCU
rnacentral:tRNA from 1 species